rnacentral:sRNA from 1 species
GAGAGCCACGUGGGUCGAGCUGGGGCGCAGCUCGCAUGGGGGAGUCUAUCCCGCUGGCCGCCCCGGUCCCGGUGGAACAGGCGGUGCUGGAGACGUUCUUCUCUCACCUGGGUAUCUUCUCUUACGACAAGGCUAAGGACAAUGUGGAGAAGGAACGAGAGGCCAACAAGAGCGCGGGGGGCAGCUGGCUGUCGCUGCUGGCGGCCUUGGCGCACCUGGCCGCGGCCGAGAAGGUCUAUCACAGCCUCACCUACCUGGGGCAGAAACUAGGUACCUCCGCCCCGCCCCCCGAGCCCCUUGAGGAGGAAGGAAAGGGGGUAUAUUCCCCAGUCGGCAGUGGCUUGGGUUUCCCGUCUCUGUGUCACUUCUAGUCGCAGGCUCGACUCGGCAUUCCCAGAUCUCCUCCCACCGUUCCUUUCCUUCCCUAGGCUUCCACAAGCCCCGCCCACCGGCCUGCGCUGCUGAUAGAUUGGCGAACUGGGUAGAUGCUCUUUGCAGGGCUGUGACCCAAACCGAAGGGUUUGCCCUUUUGCCUCGUGCAUGGAUUGAUGCCAUAAAUGAGAAGUUAACCAAA